UUCUCUCUCCCUCUCUCUCAGCUGUCGCCUCCGAAUCUCUUGGGUGGUGCUUCAAGCUUACUCACAAUGAAGUGCAGCGGUCGUGGCCUCAUCCCUCAACGAGGUCUUGUCCUCAGGCGGUCCCUGAACAAGAUGCUUCGCUUCCUCUGCUGCGGAUCAGCCCUCCUCGCACUCCUACCAGCCUCUGCGUGUAAAUCCUUCUGAAUAGGUUUCAUCUCCAACCUUUUGAUCUUGAUCAUCCCGCUGAGACCCAAAGAGGGUUUGUCAUUUCUGGGAAUAUUGACGCGGUGUUGAUUCUGCAAGUCAUCCAAACAGAUCUAGUUGCUUAGUAAAACGAGAAGCUCUUGAAGGAAUUCAGUGUCAAGCAAUUUUGUGUCUAUUCUGAUUUGCAGUUUAGUAUCAGAACAGUCAACUGUAGGUUGCCUUUUUCUAAGUUUUUGUGAUUUUAUUCGUUCCAUGUGGAGAAAAUGAACAGCUAUAUCGAUGUUUCAGUUAAUAUCUCUCCGACAGUAGAAUGAAAAAAUUCCCUGGCCCAUCAUCCUCCUUCUUCAUGAUGAGAUGAUUGAUUGCUUCAAGCAAGCUUAAAAAAUUCCAUUGA